GACGAACGCUGGCGGCAGGCUUAACACAUGCAAGUCGAACGCCCCGCAAGGGGAGUGGCAGACGGGUGAGUAACGCGUGGGAAUCUACCCAUCUCUGCGGAAUAGCUCUGGGAAACUGGAAUUAAUACCGCAUACGCCCUACGGGGGAAAGAUUUAUCGGGGAUGGAUGAGCCCGCGUUGGAUUAGCUAGUUGGUGGGGUAAAGGCCUACCAAGGCGACGAUCCAUAGCUGGUCUGAGAGGAUGAUCAACCACAUUGGGACUGAGACACGGCCCAAACUCCUACGGGAGGCAGCAGUGGGGAAUAUUGGACAAUGGGCGCAAGCCUGAUCCAGCCAUGCCGCGUGAGUGAUGAAGGCCUUAGGGUUGUAAAGCUCUUUCACCGAUGAAGAUAAUGACGGUAGUCGGAGAAGAAGCCCCGGCUAACUUCGUGCCAGCAGCCGCGGUAA
rnacentral:rRNA from 1 species